rfam:Chloroflexi bacterium 44-23 SCNpilot_bf_inoc_scaffold_6881, whole genome shotgun sequence.
UUUGGUGAUAAAAGCGGCAGAGGUACACCCGGACACAUCUCGAACCCGGUCGUUAAGGCUGCUAGCGCCGAUGGUACUUGGAGGGCGACUUCCCGGGAGAGUAGGUCAUUGCCAAAA